rnacentral:misc_RNA from 1 species
CAGAGUCUCCGAACUCCAAACCUUUGUGAACAUACCACCGUUGCUUCGGCGGGAACCCCCGGGGCGCCCGCCGAGGGACCCAAACCAUUUUAUCCAUAGUGGACUCUUCAGAGUUUGAUAUACAAUCAAUCA